GUUUUUGAGAGGAAAGGAAAUUUGAUCUUUUGCUAAGUGUCCAGCACCAUAAUUAUUUUUUGAAAUUAAAUGGAUAAGUGGGAAAGACCCCUUUCCACUGGGAGACAUUGAAUAAAGGUAGAAAUGACUCAUUCUUCAUAUACAUAUUUGGUGGCAGUGUUAAAAUAGUUUUAUGAUUUAUAAUCAUUAAGGGUGGGCCCCACAUUCCAAUAAAUAAAAGAAACAUAGUUUGUUGAGUUUUCAACUUGCAAAGUCUAUUCCUUUAAGCUAGCAGCAAGCAUGUUCAACGUAAUGGCAAUACAAUUACUUUUAAACUUAUAUCUUUACUUUAUCAAUUCUCGUUGAAGAUGAAUAAACGUACAACAACUCUUUUAAGGCACCUCAACUUGAAUUUAAGCUAUUCAUCAAAUGGAGUGGAGGCAGCAAUGAAACCUAUAUGUAUCAAUGCAGCUACCACAAAGGGCAGCAAGCAAUGUCAUUUUCAGAUUCUAUAAUAGCAGUAUAGGUAUUAGAAGAAGAAACGUAAUAUUUUCUGUUUGGGGGCAGCAACGUUCUAUCAACUCUUAUAAUCCUUGAAUAAAGCCCUUAGUAGCAGCUGCUCAUGGAUGUAGUGCAUUUGGAGCCCUUAGUAACUUCAUCCUUUAUAAAGAAAAGUUGUAAUUUCCAGCAAGAAUUUUAAGAGGUCAAGCUUGCUAGUAAGGCUUUCCUUCCAAUUAUUGAGGCUAAAGGGGAGACGAGGCGAAAAGGAUUCAUGAAUAGUCGCUGACAGGUACAGACGCACAGUUUGGUGAUCCUUCCGUUUAGGACAUCCCCUUCUGCUGUUUGGAGUGCUCUUCUCAUUUCAGAGCAUACAUUUUGGUAUAUAAUUGUUCGCUAUGUGUAUAUGUAUUUGUUCAGGGGUACGGUGGGGCCCUGUCCCGCCAUAUGAUUCGUUUGGUCUGUUUAGAGGUCUGUAGACUUAUUUGUGGGUGUGUGUGCCUACUUCUGCUCAGUUGUGUUUAUAUGACUCUAUUCGUUA